rnacentral:rRNA from 1 species
UACAGAGGGGGCAAGCGUUGUUCGGAAUUACUGGGCGUAAAGGGCGCGUAGGCGGCCUGCUAAGUCGAACGUGAAAUCCCCGAGCUCAACUCGGGAACUGCGUCCGAUACUGGCAGGCUUGAAUCCGGGAGAGGGAUGCGGAAUUCCGGGUGUAGCGGUGAAAUGCGUAGAUAUCUGGAGGAACACCGGUGGCGAAGGCGGCAUCCUGGACCGGCAUUGACGCUGAGGCGCGAAAGCGUGGGGAGCAAACAGG